UACGUAGGAGGCAAGCGUUGUCCGGAAUUACUGGGCGUAAAGCGCGUGUAGGUGGUGGGACAAGUCUGCUGUGAAAGCGCCUGGCUUAACCGGGCGAGGUCGGCGGAAACUGUCCGACUCGAGGACGGUAGAGGGGGGUGGAAUUCCCGGUGUAGUGGUGAAAUGCGUAGAGAUCCGGAGGAACACCAGUGGCGAAGGCGGCUGCCUGGGCCUGGCCUGACGCUGAGGCGCGAAAGCGUGGGGAGCGAUCCGG
rnacentral:rRNA from 1 species